rnacentral:rRNA from 1 species
AUUGAACGCUGGCGGAAUGCUUUACACAUGCAAGUCGAACGGCAGCACGGACCUCGGUCUGGUGGCGAGUGGCGAACGGGUGAGUAAUGUAUCGGAACGUGCCCAGUCGUGGGGGACAACGUAGUGAAAAUUACGCUAAUACCGCAUACGAUCUAUGGAUGAAAGCGGGGGAUCGCAAGACCUCGCGCGAUUGGAGCGGCCGAUAUCAGAUUAGGUAGUUGGUGGGGUAAAGGCCCACCAAGCCAACGAUCUGUAGCUGGUCUGAGAGGACGACCAGCCACGCUGGAACUGGAGCACGGUCCAGACUCCUACGGGAGGCAGCAGUGGGGAAUUUUGGACAAUGGGCGAAAGCCUGAUCCAGCCAUUCCGCGUGCAGGAUGAAGGCCCUCGGGUUGUAAACUGCUUUUGUACAGAACGAAAAGGUUUCUACUAAUACUAGGAGCUCAUGACGGUACUGUAAGAAUAAGCACCGGCUAACUACGUGCCAGCCGCCGCCGUAA